GCGUCGCUAGUGCAAUGGUUCGAGCACGCUCCUCCGAAUUAGAUGAAAUGCGGGUUCAAGUUCCGCCUGACGCA